rnacentral:rRNA from 1 species
GCUUGUCUCAAAGAUUAAGCCAUGCAUGUCUUAGUGUAAAUAACUCUUAUGAAACUGCGAAUGGCUCAUUAAAUCAGUUAUCGUUUAUUUGAUGGUCCCUUACUACAUGGAUAACCGUAGUAAUUCUAGAGCUAAUACAUGCGUAAAGUCCCGACUCUUUCUGGGGAGGGAUGUAUUUAUUAGAUAAAAAACCAAUGCGGGUUCUGCCCGGUUUUGUGUUGAAUCAUAGUAACUUUUCGAAUCGCAUGGCUUCACGCCGGCGAUAGUUCAUUCAAAUUUCUGCCCUAUCAGCUUUCGACGGUAGUGUAGUGGACUACCGUGGCGUUAACGGGUAACGGAGAAUUAGGGUUCGAUUCCGGAGAGGGAGCCUGAGAAACGGCUACCACAUCUAAGGAAGGCAGCAGG